AUUGAACGCUGGCGGCAUGCUUUACACAUGCAAGUCGGACGGCAGCACAGAGAAGCUUGCUUCUUGGGUGGCGAGUGGCGAACGGGUGAGUAAUAUAUCGGAACGUACCGAGUAAUGGGGGAUAACUAAUCGAAAGAUUAGCUAAUACCGCAUAUUCUCUGAGGAGGAAAGCAGGGGACCUUCGGGCCUUGCGUUAUUCGAGCGGCCGAUAUCUGAUUAGCUAGUUGGUGGGGUAAAGGCCUACCAAGGCGACGAUCAGUAGCGGGUCUGAGAGGAUGAUCCGCCACACUGGGACUGAGACACGGCCCAGACUCCUACGGGAGGCAGCAGUGGGGAAUUUUGGACAAUGGGCGCAAGCCUGAUCCAGCCAUGCCGCGUGUCUGAAGAAGGCCUUCGGGUUGUAAAGGACUUUUGUCAGGGAAGAAAAGGCUGUUGCUAAUACCGACAGCUGAUGACGGUACCUGAAGAAUAAGCACCGGCUAACUACGUGCCAGCAGCCGCGGUAAUACGUAGGGUGCGAGCGUUAAUCGGAAUUACUGGGCGUAAAGCGAGCGCAGACGGUUACUUAAGCAGGAUGUGAAAUCCCCGGGCUCAACCUGGGAACUGCGUUCUGAACUGGGUGACUAGAGUGUGUCAGAGGGAGGUAGAAUUCCACCUGUAGCAGUGAAAUGCGUAGAGAUGUGGAGGAAUACCGAUGGCGAAGGCAGCCUCCUGGGAUAACACUGACGUUCAUGCUCGAAAGCGUGGGUAGCAAACAGG
rnacentral:rRNA from 1 species